UACGAGGGGGGCAAGCGUUGUUCGGAAUUAUUGGGCGUAAAGGGCGCGUAGGCGGCUGGGCAAGUCAAAGGUGAAAUCCCUCGGCUCAACUGAGGAACUGCCUUUGAAACUGCCUGGCUUGAGGCCGGGAGGGGGUAGCGGAAUUCCCAGUGUAGCGGUGAAAUGCGUAGAUAUUGGGAGGAACACCAGUGGCGAAGGCGGCUACCUGGACCGGUUCUGACGCUGAUGCGCGAAAGCGUGGGUAGCAAACAGG
rnacentral:rRNA from 1 species